UCACUAGUGCACAACAGAGCUACUGGCUGCGGUUCCAUGUCAUGAAAAAAACCCCUUGUAUUUACAGAAGGCAUUCUAGCCUUUUCCAUUCCAAUAUACUUAUGGAAUAUCAAGGAGAAAUCGACAGUAAACGCAGAAUUCAUUCUCAGUACAACCACACCGAUUCGUGCAAACUUGCUAGAUGGACAUCCAAGCAAUGCUAUCAGUUCAUGUCCGCCAGGCCAUGGCAACACGUUCUCGAUUUCUACUCCGAUGCCGUCCAUGGCCACUCCUCCUUGUUCGACCUGUUCCCUUCUCUGACGAAUAUUGUUCAUGGAGAUACUUUGAUUCCGGAAGUUUAUGAUAGAAAUGAAUUGAAGAAUGUUUCCUGUGGAGAGAAAUCGGAGAGUGGGAGAUGGGCAAGAGUUACUUUUAAGAUAGUUGUCUCAUAUCAUGGGGGUUCAUUUGAUGGCUGGCAGAGGCAGCCGGGCUUGAACACUGUUCAAGGUUUAGUAGAAAAGGCUCUUGGGAGAUUUGUUGAUGAGAAGAAGGCUCAGUUACUUAAAGAAAAAUGCAAACCUUUGGAAGGUUGUGUUCUUGUUGCUGGGCGCACUGACAAAGGCGUCUCUGCUCUUCGGCAAGUUUCUUCCUUCUAUACUUGGAGGAAAGAUGUGAAGCAUUGUGACAUUGAAGAUGCCAUCAACAAUGCAGCACCUGGAAAGCUCGGGGUUGUAUCUAUUUCGGAGGUUUCUCGUGCAUUUCAUCCUAAUUUUUCUGCUAAAUGGCGGCGCUAUUUGUAUAUCUUUCCUUUUAGUGAUCAAGAAAAUGGAGAACAAAACUGUGAGAAUGAGCAUAAUUGUGAAAUUUUUUGUUCAAGUGAAAAUCAUGGCAAGGAAGAAAAUGAAUAUGGGGAACACAUUGGCAAGGAGAAUGUAGAAAAUGUUGUUUUUGUUGAUGAUGAACCUGAAGGCGAAAGAAAACCUAUUACGUUUACUAUAUGCAGGGUUAACCAGCUUUUACGGCAAUUAGAAGGAAAGUUGUUAUCCUACAAGAUGUUUGCACGUGAUACCCCAACUUCGAGGAACGUAGGUCCCCCAACAGAAUGUUUUGUCUACCAUGCUCGUGCUGCAGAAUUCAGAUUACCAUGCUCGGAAGGAAGAAGGGUUAUGUGUAUUGAGCUGGUCGCUAAUCGAUUCCUUCGCAAGAUGGUUCGGGUGCUCGUGGCUACAUCAAUAAGGGAAGCAGCUGCAGGUGCAGAUAAAGAUGCAUUGCUGAAGCUGAUGGAUGCUACUUCUAGACGCGCAACUGCUCCUCCGGCCCCUGCAGAGGGUCUAUGUCUUGUUGAUGUAGGAUAUACUGAAUUUGAUCCAAAAGGCUGCCUGAUUCCAUAAGUACUACCUUGGAGAGUAUACAAUCCCCUAUCAGCCCUCAGAUCCAUGGUAUAACACAGGUCUUUUACGCACUUGCUGCACUUAAAUGUCUUGGCACAAAGACUUAACUUUGCAGUGAGAAGAUUAUUCCCAAGUGCUGUGACAAGGAGAUAAUUAUUUCACACAAUGACUGAGAUAGUUGUUGUUGAAUGGCUGCUUAAACCGCAAGCAGCAAUUCAGCUUCACAAUCGGAAUCUGUCAUGAUCCUGCAAGCCCUUCCAGUGUAGACUUUUGUAACUUUGAAAUUGCAGAACUGCCACCUAGCCUUAGAUGAGAUCCCAUUGGAAUGUUUUUAUACGUUGUCAUUGUGAUUCAGAAAUUGCCCUUGCAAUGAAAAAUGUUAUUUUAUGGGCAUGUUUGAAUUGAAUUGAACUGAAGUUCACAUAUUCAAGAAGACAGUGGUUUCCAAUGAA